rnacentral:Y_RNA from 1 species
GGCUGUUCUGAAGAUAGUGAGCUAUCUCACUUGAUUGUACACAGUCAGUUACAGAGUGAACUCCUUGUUCUACUACUUUUUCUCCUCCUUACUACUGUACUUGACUACUCUUUA